GACGAACGCUGGCGGCGUGCUUAACACAUGCAAGUCGAGCGGUAAGGCCCUUUCGGGGGUACACGAGCGGCGAACGGGUGAGUAACACGUGGGUGACCUGCCCUCAGCUCUGGGAUAAGCCUGGGAAACCGGGUCUAAUACUGGAUAUGACUCCAUGACGCAUGUUGUGGGGUGGAAAGCCUUGUGCGGCUGAGGAUGGGCCCGCGGCCUAUCAGCUUGUUGGUGGGGUGANGGGCCUACCAAGGCGACGACGGGUAGCCGGCCUGAGAGGGCGACCGGCCACACUGGGACUGAGACACGGCCCAGACUCCUACGGGAGGCAGCAGUGGGGAAUCUUGCGCAACGGGCGAAAGCCUGACGCAGCGACGCCGCGUGAGGGAUGACGGCCU
rnacentral:rRNA from 1 species